rnacentral:lncRNA from 1 species
UUGGAAGUGGUCGAGCUCGAGCACGGGAAAACGGUGACUAUUGGUCGGGAUCUCAAGGCCAGCCUCCGGGAGGAAGUCAUCAAUUGUCUGUCCCGCAACAUCGAUGUUUUUGCAUGGAAGGUCGAGGAUAUACCAGGGAUAGACCUUGAAGUAGCAGUCCAUAGACUCAAUAUAAGCCCAGGGGCCAAACCUGUUAAGCAAAGGAAGAGGCAGUUUGCGUCGGAAAGACGUGUAGUCAUUCAGGAAGAGGUCAGCAAACUGCUAAGAGCGGGGUUCAUAAAGGAAGUCCAAUACCCCGAUUAGCUCGCUAAUGUUGUUCUUGUAAAGAAGGCCAGUGGUAAAUGGAGGGUCUGCAUUGACUUCACAGAUCUCAAUAAGGUGUGCCCUAAAGACAGUUACUCG